CACCGCGGUUAGACGAGCAGGCCCAAGUUGAUAAUUCACGGCGCAAAGGGUGGUUAGGGAAAACAAAAACUAAAGUCGAACUAGCUCAUUACUGUGAUAAGCCCAUAUGAAAAAAUGAAGCCCACCCACGAAAGUGACUUUAUUACCCCUGAACCCACGAAAGCUAAGAAA
rnacentral:rRNA from 2 species